GAUGAACGCUGGCGGCGUGCCUAAUACAUGCAAGUCGAGCGAACAGACGAGGAGCUUGCUCCUCUGACGUUAGCGGCGGACGGGUGAGUAACACGUGGAUCAUCUACCUAUAUGACUGGGAUCACUUCGGGACACCGGCGCUUACACCGGAUAAUAUACUGAACCGUAUGGUUCAAUAGUGAAAGACGGCUUUUCUGUCUCUUAUCGAUGGAUCUGCGCCGCAUUAGCUAGUUGGUAAGGUAACGGCCUACCAAGGCAACGAUGCGUAACCGACCUGACAGAGUGAUCGGCCACACUGGAACGGGGACACGGUCCAGGCGCCUACGGGAGGCAGCAGUAGGGAAUCGUCCGCAAUAGGCGAGAGCCUGACGGAGCAGCGCCGCGUGAGUGAUGAAGGUCUUCGGAUCGUAAAACUCUGUUAUUAGGUAAGAACAAAUGUGGAAGUAACUAUACACGUCGUGACGGUACCUAGUCAGAAAGCCACGGCUAACUACGUG
rnacentral:rRNA from 1 species